rnacentral:rRNA from 1 species
UACGUAGGGUCCGAGCGUUGUCCGGAAUUACUGGGCGUAAAGAGCUCGUAGGUGGUUUGUCGCGUUGUUCGUGAAAACUCACAGCUUAACUGUGGGCGUGCGGGCGAUACGGGCAGACUAGAGUACUGCAGGGGAGACUGGAAUUCCUGGUGUAGCGGUGGAAUGCGCAGAUAUCAGGAGGAACACCGGUGGCGAAGGCGGAUCUCUGGGCCGAUACUGACGCUGAGGAGCGAAAGCGUGGGGAGCGAACAGG